UGAGGAAUAUUGGUCAAUGGGCGAUGGCCUGAACCAGCCAAGUAGCGUGAAGGAUGACUGCCCUAUGGGUUGUAAACUUCUUUUAUAAAGGAAUAAAGUCGGGUAUGCAUACCCGUUUGCAUGUACUUUAUGAAUAAGGAUCGGCUAACUCCGUGCCAGCAGCCGCGGUAAUACGGAGGAUCCGAGCGUUAUCCGGAUUUAUUGGGUUUAAAGGGAGCGUAGAUGGAUGUUUAAGUCAGUUGUGAAAGUUUGCGGCUCAACCGUAAAAUUGCAGUUGAUACUGGGUGUCUUGAGUACAGUAGAGGCAGGCGGAAUUCGUGGUGUAGCGGUGAAAUGCUUAGAUAUCACGAAGAACUCCGAUUGCGAAGGCAGCUUGCUGGACUGUAACUGACGCUGAUGCUCGAAAGUGUGGGUAUCAAACAGGAUUAGAUACCCUGGUAGUCCACACAGUAAACGAUGAAUACUCGCUGUUUGCGAUAUACAGUAAGCGGCCAAGCGAAAGCGUUAAGUAUUCCACCUGGGGAGUACGCCGGCAACGGUGAAACUCAAAGGAAUUGACGGGGGCCCGCACAAGCGGAGGAACAUGUGGUUUAAUUCGAUGAUACGCGAGGAACCUUACCCGGGCUUGAAUUGCAACUGAAUGAUGUGGAGACAUGUCAGCCGCAAGGCAGUUGUGAAGGUGCUGCAUGGUUGUCGUCAGCUCGUGCCGUGAGGUGUCGGCUUAAGUGCCAUAACGAGCGCAACCCUUAUCGAUAGUUACCAUCAGGUUAUGCUGGGGACUCUGUCGAGACUGCCGUCGUAAGAUGUGAGGAAGGUGGGGAUGACGUCAAAUCAGCACGGCCCUUACGUCCGGGGCUACACACGUGUUACAAUGGGGGGUACAGAAGGCAGCUACACGGCGACGUGAUGCUAAUCCCUAAAGCCUCUCUCAGUUCGGAUUGGAGUCUGCAACCCGACUCCAUGAAGCUGGAUUCGCUAGUAAUCGCGCAUCAGCCACGGCGCGGUGAAUACGUUCCC
rnacentral:rRNA from 1 species